GAUGAAGAACGUAGCGAAAUGCGAUAAGUAAUGUGAAUUGCAGAAUUCAGUGAAUCAUCGAAUCUUUGAACGCACCUUGCACCCUCUGGACUGCUCCAAAGGGUAUGCUCGUUUGAGUGUCAUUGUACUCUCACACUCUCUGAUCCUUUGGAUUUGGGGAGCAGUGGACUUGGGUGCUUGCUGCUUCCUUGUGGCUCACCUGAAAUGCAUCAGUGCAUCUCUCGAUUGGACAUAGUACGGCGUGAUAAGUGUCUUCGCCGGCACCUCAUAUGAGGGUGGCCGAUCGGGAGCUCUGUGCUUUCAAACCGUCUUCGGACAACGCUGACAACUUGACCUCAAAUCGAGUAGGACUACCCGCUGAACUUAAGCAUAUCAAUAAGCGGAGGA
rnacentral:misc_RNA from 1 species